rnacentral:rRNA from 1 species
UAGGGUUGAUAGGUUAAGAGCUAAUUAACUGGACGUUACCCACAGAAGAAGCACCGGCUAACUCCGUGCCAGCAGCCGCGGUAAUACGGAGGGUGCGAGCGUUAAUCGGAAUUACUGGGCGUAAAGGGUGCGUAGGUGGUUGAUUAAGUUAUCUGUGAAAUUCCUGGGCUUAACCUGGGACGGUCAGAUAAUACUGGUUGACUCGAGUAUGGGAGAGGGUAGUGGAAUUUCCGGUGUAGCGGUGAAAUGCGUAGAGAUCGGAAGGAACACCAGUGGCGAAGGCGGCUACCGGCCCAAUAC